CACUCUCGGCUUUCGAGUACCCGGGGCCCAAGCGGAAGCUCUACAGUGCUGUACCUGGGAGGCUCUUCGUCGCCGUCAAGCCAUACCAACCCCAAGUGGACGGCGAGAUCCCCCUUCACCGUGGCGACAGGGUCAAAGUUCUGAGCAUCGGCGAAGGGGGCUUCUGGGAAGGCAGCGCCCGCGGCCACAUCGGAUGGUUUCCGGCGGAGUGCGUGGAGGAGGUCCAGUGUAAGCCCAGGGACAGCCAGGCAGAAACCCGCGCUGACCGCAGCAAGAAGCUUUUCAGGCACUACACCGUGGGCUCCUAUGACAGCUUCGACACUUCCAGGUGGAAUGGCUGUGAAGGAAGGAGGCAGGCAAGCCACCAGGUAGCCAGAUCUUCUAGGCACAGCAGGUUUGAGUUCGUCUGAUGUGUAGAAAGAGCCCUGCGUCUUUGACAAUGUGACUGGCACAGGCACAUGGUUGGAUUUUUCUGCAGAAACCACACCUGUGUGGCACCAGCUGUGGGGA
rnacentral:sRNA from 1 species